rnacentral:rRNA from 1 species
GAUGAACGCUAGCUACAGGCUUAACACAUGCGAGUCGAGGGGCAGCAUGAUCGAAGCUUGCUUUGAUUGAUGGCGACCGGCGCACGGGUGAGUAACGCGUAUCCAACCUUCCCUAUAGUAGAGGAUAGCCCGGCGAAAGUCGGAUUAAUACUCUAUGUUUUCCAAUGCAGACAUCUAAAAUGGAACAAAGGUUUACCGCUAUAGGAUGGGGAUGCGUCUGAUUAGGUAGUCGGCGGGGUAACGGCCCACCGAGCCCUCGAUCAGUAGGGGUUCUGAGAGGAAGGUCCCCCACAUUGGAACUGAGACACGGUCCAAACUCCUACGGGAGGCAGCAGUGAGGAAUAUUGGUCAAUGGGCGCGAGCCUGAACCAGCCAAGUAGCGUGCAGGAUGACGGCCCUAUGGGUUGUAAACUGCUUUUAUACAGGGAUAAAGUGGGGAACGUGUUCCCUUUUGUAGGUACUGUAUGAAUAAGGACCGGCUAAUUCCGUGCCAGCCGCCGCCGUAAUAC